GCGGGUCCUUUCGGCCCAACCUCCCAUCCGUGUCUAUUGUACCCUGUUGCUUCGGCGGGCCCGCCGCUUGUCGGCCGCCGGGGGGGCGCUCUGCCCCCCGGGCCCGUGCCCGCCGGAGACCCCAACACGAACACUGUCUGAAAGCGUGCAGUCUGAGUUGAUUGAAUGCAAUCAGUUAAAACUUUCAACAAUGGAUCUCUUGGUUCCGGCAUCGAUGAAGAACGCAGCGAAAUGCGAUAACUAAUGUGAAUUGCAGAAUUCAGUGAAUCAUCGAGUCUUUGAACGCACAUUGCGCCCCCUGGUAUUCCGGGGGGCAUGCCUGUCCGAGCGUCAUUGCUGCCCUCAAGCCCGGCUUGUGUGUUGGGUCGCCGUCCCCCUCUCCGGGGGGACGGGCCCGAAAGGCAGCGGCGGCACCGCGUCCGAUCCUCGAGCGUAUGGGGCUUUGUCACAUGCUCUGUAGGAUUGGCCGGCGCCUGCCGACGUUUUCCAACCAUUCUUUCCAGGUUGACCUCG
rnacentral:rRNA from 1 species